GCUUAAAGGGGCCGUAGCUGGCCGGGCAAAUCUCUGGGUAAAUCUGGCGGCUCAACCGUCCGAACUCCAGAGACACUGCUCGGCUUGAGAUCGGGAGAGGGAGAAGGUACUCCCUGGGUAGGGGUAAAAUCCUGUAAUCCGGGGGGGACCACCAGUGGCGAAGGCGUUCUCCUAGAACGAUUCUGACAGUGAGGGACGAAGCCCUAGGGCGCAAACGGGAUUAGAUACCCCGGUAGUCUAGGGUGUAAACGCUGCAGACUUGGUGUUGGAGGUCCUGCGUGGGCUUCCAGUGCCGGAGCGAAGGUGUUAAGUCUGCCGCUUGGGGAGUACGGUCGCAAGACUGAAACUUAAAGGAAUUGGCGGGAGAGCACCGCAACGGGAGGAGCGUGCGGUUCAAUUGGAUUCAACGCCGGAAAACUCACCGGGGGCGACGGAGGGAUGAAAGCCAGGCUGAAGACCUUGCCCGAUUCUCCGAGAGGUGGUGCAUGGCCGUCGUCAGUUCGUACCGUAAGGCGUUCUGUUAAGUCAGAUAACGAACGAGACCCUCGCCUUUAGUCGCAAUUUCGCGGGCGACCGCGAGAGCACACUAAAGGGAUCGCUGCCGCUAAGACAGAGGAAGGAGAGGUCUACGGUAGGUCCGCAUGCCCCUAA
rnacentral:rRNA from 1 species